rnacentral:rRNA from 1 species
UACGGGGGGGGCAAGCGUUGUUCGGAAUUACUGGGCGUAAAGGGCUCGUAGGCGGCCAACUAAGUCCGACGUGAAAUCCCCAGGCUUAACCUGGGAACUGCGUCGGAUACUGGUUGGCUUGAAUCCGGGAGAGGGAUGCGGAAUUCCAGGUGUAGCGGUGAAAUGCGUAGAUAUCUGGAGGAACACCGGUGGCGAAGGCGGCAUCCUGGACCAACACUGACACUGAGGAGCGAAAGCCAGGGGAGCAAACGGG